GACGUAGGGCGCGAGCGUUGUCCGGAUUUAUUGGGCGUAAAGCGCUCGUAGGCGGCUUGUCGCGUCGACCGUGAAACCUCACAGCUCAACUGUGAGCCUGCGGUCGAUACGGGCAGGCUAGAGUUCGGUAGGGGAGACUGGAAUUCCUGGUGUAGCGGUGAAAUGCGCAGAUAUCAGGAGGAACACCGGUGGCGAAGGCGGGUCUCUGGGCCGAUACUGACGCUGAGGAGCGAAAGCGUGGGGAGCGAACAGG
rnacentral:rRNA from 1 species